UAUUGGGCGUGGAACUUGCAAAGCCAAUUUGGCAAGUUGCUUAUUAAAAUACCGAGGUACUGAACUAAAUACCGAAGUACUGAACAUAAGCUCGUCAUUUGAAGUGUUUCACUAGCCAAGGAAUUAAACGUAUUUCUUAAAAGGUUUAAUAAAUAAUUGUCAAAUAUAUUGCUUUAGUAAGCAACUUGCGAAGUUGGCUUUGCCAGUUCCAAGUCCAAUA
rnacentral:miRNA from 1 species